rnacentral:lncRNA from 1 species
CACACACACACACACACACACACACACACACACACACACUACACUCAACAGGUUAUCCAUUUAGCCAAACGUGUAAUUACUAGAUCAUGUGUUAUUAGUAUUCAACGCACAGCCGUGAAUUAUCAUUAAUGAUCAUUAAUCUGUCCCAAUAUACAAUUAAACUACUAUUAAAAUAAUUACUCAAUCUCAAGUAAUCAUUGUCUUAAUGAGGGGAGGAUGUGUACUUAAAGAUGCAGCAGCCAAUGUCUUUGUCCCAAAUGGUGCACUAUUCCAUAUAUCUCUCCAACUCUUGACCUCCAAGCCAGUUCCACUGCCUUUUUUCAUUGUUCCACUCUAAUUACGGACUGAUUUCAGACCUGUAACACCAGGUUUCCAACUCGACUCUGGACCUCCAAGCCAGUUCCACUGCCUUUUUUCAUUGUUCCACUCUAAUUACGGACUGAUUUCAGACCUGUAACACCAGGUUUCCAACUCGACUCUGGACCUCCAAGCCAGUUCCACUGCCUUUUUUCAUUGUUCCCCUCUAAUUACGGACUGAUUUCAGACCUGGAACACCAGGUGUGUGCAAUUAAAUGGUAUAAUAGAAAACCAGCAGGUUACGGACCUCGUAGGGUCAGAGUUGAGUAACCCUGCCCUAUGUAGCGCACAAUUUUUGACCAGGACCAUACUGUAGAUAGUACACUAUAUAGGGAAUGAGGGUGGAAUAUGGGAUGUAGACAUUUACUUUGUUAUGGUGGAAAUACACAAUUAGCGAUAGGAAGUGUUUGCUAGGUUGGGCUGUAUAUACAAGCUUAGUGACUUGUUUACUAGGUUGGGCUGUAUAUACAAGCUUAGUGACUUGUUUACUAGGUUGGGCUGUAUUUACUAGGUUAGUGACUUGUUUACUAGGUAGGGCUGUAUAUGCUAAGUUAGUGACUUGUUUACUAGGUUGGGCUGUAUGUGCUAGGUUAGUGACUUGUUUACUAGGUUGGGCUGUAUGUACUAGGUUAGGGAUUUGUUUACUAGGUUGGGCUGUAUGUGCUAGGUUAGUGACUUGUUUACUAGGUUGGGCUGUCUGUGCUAGGUUAGUGACUUGUUUACUAGGUUGGGCUGUAUGUACUAGGUUAGUGACUUGUUUACUAGGUUGGGCUGUUUAUGCU